rnacentral:lncRNA from 9 species
GCCAGACGUGGUUUCCUAGACCCGGGGUGAGUUUUGUCUGGAAGCAUUAGUGGUUGUGAAAUCCACGACCGUGUGCUCCUGUGAAACCGUCCCCAGUCAAGCGUCGGGAGAAAGAGAAAGGAACCAAAGUGAGACCGUGCUGCUUUUGGACCUGUCACCUGGUAUCGUGGUUCCUGGCUACCUGUCCAUCUACCUGAUGACCCCAGGGCCCUGGAGAACUGAGGCACUGUCCCAUCUGUGUACGUGUACCUAGUAAUUGGCACAGGGGCUGGCAGACAGCAGGGGGGAGAUAGAUGGGUCCAGAGCUCAUCUACACAUGCCCACACAGACACCUUCCAGAAGCACUCAUCUCUGGGGAAAAGCUAAGGCAGAAUUCACUGAAUUUCUUUUCGAUUUCCUCCUUCCUAUUAAAAUUUGGGCCAGUAACUAGGUAUAUGUAUUCCUAUUGUAGUUAAAAACAAACAAACAAAAACUACCCAGGUUUUGAAAUCUGGAGACGUGAGUCUCUCGGCUCCUAAGGGCUGAGAAAGACUGGCAGAUUCUGCUAGAAAUUCAGGGCGCCAAAAAGUCAAAAGCAAUGACCUUAAACACAGCAACUUCCCCUGUGCCACCAAUGUAUUUUGCCGUGUGUACAAGAACCAACAUUGAUUUAGUUUAAUAAUUUGUUUACCAAUUCUGAGCGUGCUUGGUCAGAAGAGUGAACACACUUCACGGAAGAUAAAUAACGGCUGCCCGGCUGCCAAAUGGAUUCGUUCACAAAGCAGAUGAAUUCUGCAAGGUCCUUGAGAGUACUGAUGGAAAAUUCUGAUUCCUAAUUGAUCAGUGUUGGUCUUCCUCCAUCACAGCUUGUAGCACUUAGGGAGGUUGGUCACGAAGCCCAGAAAGUCACAUGAGCUGCUUCACCAAGAAGGGAAAUGUGUUUUAAAGGCACAGGCUCCUUUCUGAACCCAAAGCGUGGGGGCUGCUGAAUUUCAGAGUGGAAUGGGAUCAGGCCUAGAGUUUGUUGGGCCCUCGAGGGGUCCACUCCCAGGGAUUCUGGUUUCUUUCUCCUGCGGUUUGUUAGUCUUUCCUCCGUUGCAGAAGGGCCAUCUCCGCAUCCUACUCAACACAGGUCCAAAUGGCACCCAACAGCGCGCCAACGCUGUUGGCCUCCCGCCCCACUCAAGUGACUCUGUCUUAAAGCCUGGCCACGGCCCCAGGGAAGGGGCGAAGACCUCACUGCUGCAGGGGUAACAAAGAAAACGUCCCAAUGGCUUGAGUCCAGAAGGUGGCGUCUUGCCGUGGCUGCAGCUCUGUGCCAAGGGCUGGAGGGUUCACGACGGAGGCUGUCAUCCAUCGGGGGAGGCUGGCUUCCGUUCCACCCUCUGCACCUGUCACAGGAUUUGCAUCGUUUGGCGCUGGUGAGGAUGGCAGCCUGCCCUUCGAGGCCAGUGUACUUCACGAGUUUCACUCCUUUUAUUUUACUUUAUUUUUUGCCUUUUUGUCUUUUUAGGGCUGCACCCGUGGCAUAUGGAGGUUCCCAGGCUAGGGGUCGAAUCAGAGCUGCAUCUGUGACCUACACCACAGCCACAGCAACACCAGAUCCUUAACCCACUGAGAGAAGCCAGGGAUGGAACUGCAUCCUCGUGGCUGCUAGUCGGAUUCCUUUCCGCUGCCCACAGCGGGAACUCCAGCGCCUCUCCUGUUAUGACAGCCAUGCGUGGAAAGAUGAAAAUCCCCAGGAAGUUUGAACCGCCGUGACCCCCUCUCCAUCAAAGAAGUCAGGCCCGAUCGACCGCGCCGAUGCACUCUCUUCUGCUGUUUUUCCUCCUAACUCCGCAGACGUCGGCUUUGGGUUCUGCCUACCGGGGAAACCAGCUGAUAUAUUUAUACCUCGGGUGGCUGAGAGCCUCAUCGUCACAGUAUUUCAUAUAUUUACGGAAAACAAACAUGUGGCUCAGUGGUGUGUUGAAUAGAAAUAUAUAUAUGUGUGUGUAUAUAUCGCUAUAUUUCUAUUUUUAGCCUAUAUCUCAAAUCCUAGAUGAUUAAAAUUGGUAUGGAAGAAGAGACCAUCCUUUAACUAGUGGCUUUCUGUUCUGCGGUUUGUUUUUAGGUGAGAAAAACGAAAACCUGGAGAAAGUAACUGACUGCCCCAGGAAGUGGGCUUUUGGUGAGAGAGCCAGGCUACAAACAGGCAGGCUGGUGAUCCUGGGUCCCCUGGCUCGC